rnacentral:rRNA from 1 species
CAUUACCGAGUUUACAACUCCCAAACCCAAUGUGAACGUUACCAAACUGUUGCCUCGGCGGGAUCUCUGCCCCGGGUGCGUCGCAGCCCCGGACCAAGGCGCCCGCCGGAGGACCAACCUAAAACUCUUAUUGUAUACCCCCUCGCGGGUUUUUUUAUAAUCUGAGCCUUCUCGGCGCCUCUCGUAGGCGUUUCGAAAAUGAAUCAAAACUUUCAACAACGGAUCUCUUGGUUCUGGCAUCGAUGAAGAACGCAGCGAAAUGCGAUAAGUAAUGUGAAUUGCAGAAUUCAGUGAAUCAUCGAAUCUUUGAACGCACAUUGCGCCCGCCAGUAUUCUGGCGGGCAUGCCUGUCCGAGCGUCAUUUCAACCCUCGAACCCCUCCGGGGGGUCGGCGUUGGGGAUCGGCCCUGCCUCUUGGCGGUGGCCGUCUCCGAAAUACAGUGGCGGUCUCGCCGCAGCCUCUCCUGCGCAGUAGUUUGCACACUCGCUUCGGGAGCGCGGCGCGUCCACAGCCGUUAAACACCCAACUUCUGAAAUGUUGACCUCGGAUCAGGUAGGAAUACCCGCUGAACUUAAGCAUAUCAAUAAGCGGAGGAAAAGAAACCAACAGGGAUUGCCCCAGUAACGGCGAGUGAAGCGGCAACAGCUCAAAUUUGAAAUCUGGUCCCUAGGGCCCGAGUUGUAAUUUGUAGAGGAUGCUUUUGGUGAGGUGCCGCCCGAGUUCCCUGGAACGGGACGCCACAGAGGGUGAGAGCCCCGUCUGGCUGGCCGCCGAGCCUCUGUAAAGCUCCUUCGACGAGUCGAGUAGUUUGGGAAUGCUGCUCAAAAUGGGAGGUAUAUGUCUUCUAAAGCUAAAUAUUGGCCAGAGACCGAUAGCGCACAAGUAGAGUGAUCGAAAGAUGAAAAGCACCUUGAAAAGAGGGUUAAAUAGUACGUGAAAUUGUUGAAAGGGAAGCGCUUGUGACCAGACUUGGGCGCGGCGGAUCAUCCGGGGUUCUCUCCGGUGCACUUCGCCGCGUCUAGGCCAGCAUCAGUUCGUCGCGGGGGAAAAAGGCUUCGGGAACGUGGCUCCUCCGGGAGUGUUAUAGCCCGUUGCAUAAUACCCUGCGG